AUUGAACGCUGGCGGCAGGCCUAUCACAUGCAAGUCGAGCGGGGUUUUCGGACCUAGCGGCGGACGGGUGAGUAAUGCGUAGGAAGCUACCCGAUAGAGGGGGAUACCAGUUGGAAACGACUGUUAAUACCGCAUAAUGUCUACGGUCCAAAGUGUGGGACCUUCGGGCCACAUGCUAUCGGAUGCGCCUACGUCGGAUUAGCCAGUUGGUGGUGUAAUGGCUCACCAAGGCGACGAUCCCUAGCUGGUUUGAGAGGGAGAUCAGCCACACGGGAACGGGGACACGGGCCAGACUCCUACGGGAGGCAGCAGUGGGAAAUAUUGGACAAUGGGCGCAAGCCUGAUCCGGCCAUGCCGCGUGUGUGAAGAAGGCCUUCGGGUUGUAAAGCACUUUCAGUAGGGAGGAAGGGUGUUGUGUUAAUAGCUCAGCAUUUUGACGUUACCUACAGAAGAAGCACCGGCUAACUCUGUGCCAGCCGCCGCAGUAAAAC
rnacentral:rRNA from 1 species